rnacentral:tRNA from 1 species
GCGUCUAUCGCAUAGCCAGGUCGAUUGCGGGGGUCUUUUAAACCUCUCUCGAAAGAGCACAUAGGUUCGAAUCCUAUUAGACGUAC